AUGUGUGUUCCAAAAGAGAGAGGUGGCAUGGGAUUCAGAGACUUGCACUGUUUUAAUAUGGCAGUUUUGGCUAAGCAGUGUUGGAGGUUGUUGUCUGGAACAAAAUUGCUUUGUGCUAGAGUGUUGAAGGCUAAAUAUUUUCCUGAGGGCAACCUUCUAAAUUGUAGUCUCAAGAAGGGUAGUUCUUAUACAUGGCAUAGCCUAUGGAGUGGGAUACAGACUUUCAAGAGAGGGCAUAUAUGGAGAGUAGGGGAUGGCUCUCAAAUAAACAUAUAGGAGGAUCCAUGAAUACCAACUAGCCCUACACGGGGAGUAAUGACACUGAGGGGUAAUAUUGACAUCACACGUGUCUCUAAGUUGUUAAAUGAAGAGAAUAGAGCUUGGGAUGAGCAGUUUCUUAAUGAAUUAUUUUGGCCAGUCGAUGUACAUCGUAUUCUGAAUAUACCUCUAGCUAUAGGUAUGAUGAACGAUUUUGUCUCUUGGCACUGCAAUAAGAACGGUAUUUUUUCUGUACGGUCAGCUUAUCAUGAAGAGUGGGAACACCAACACGGACAAAAGUUGAGAAUGACAAACUCAGUUCAAUCCUCAAGUACUAGUACUAUUUGGAGUACCAUUUGGAAAUUAAGUGUACCAACCAAGAUAAAGAUUCAUGUGUGGAGAGCCUUACUUGGAUCCAUCCUUUGUCUGGGGGUUCUAGCAAAUAGACAUAUGAUCACGAGAUCGCAAUGUCCUAUUUGCACUAUCGAUUGUGAGAGUGCAUGCCCUCUUCUUAUGCCCAUGACUACAAGAUGUGUGGCGCAUCCUGGGUCUAGGACAAUUGGUGGGCGAGGUAUGUACUGCACAUCAUGA
rnacentral:rRNA from 1 species